rnacentral:rRNA from 1 species
GCUAAACGCGAAGAACCUUACCAGCUUUUGACAUGUCCGGUUUUGAGAAACAGAGAUGUAUCUCUUCAGUUCGGCUGGCCGGAACACAGGUGCUGCAUGGCUGUCGUCAGCUCGUGUCGUGAGAUGUUGGGUUAAGUCCCGCAACGAGCGCAACCCUCGCCCUUAGUUGCCAUCAUUUAGUUGGGCACUCUAAGGGGACUGCCGGUGAUAAGCCGCGAGGAAGGUGGGGAUGACGUCAAGUCCUCAUGGCCCUUACAGGCUGGGCUACACACGUGCUACAAUGGCGGUGACAAUGGGAGGCAAUGGGGCAACCCUGCGCAAAUCUCAAAAAGCCGUCUCAGUUCGGAUUGCACUCUGCAACUCGAGUGCAUGAAGUUGGAAUCGCUAGUAAUCGUGGAUCAGCAUGCCACGGUGAAUACGUUCCCGGGUCUUGUACACACCG